rnacentral:rRNA from 1 species
AUUGAACGCUGGCGGCAGGCCUAACACAUGCAAGUCGAGCGGAAACGACUUAACUGAACCUUCGGGGAACGUUAAGGGCGUCGAGCGGCGGACGGGUGAGUAAUGCCUGGGAAUAUGCCUUAGUGUGGGGGAUAACUAUUGGAAACGAUAGCUAAUACCGCAUAAUGUCUUCGGACCAAAGAGGGGGACCUUCGGGCCUCUCGCGCUAAGAUUAGCCCAGGUGAGAUUAGCUAGUUGGUGAGGUAAGAGCUCACCAAGGCGACGAUCUCUAGCUGGUCUGAGAGGAUGAUCAGCCACACUGGAACUGAGACACGGUCCAGACUCCUACGGGAGGCAGCAGUGGGGAAUAUUGCACAAUGGGCGAAAGCCUGAUGCAGCCAUGCCGCGUGUAUGAAGAAGGCCUUCGGGUUGUAAAGUACUUUCAGUAGGGAGGAAGGUGUUGUGUUAAUAGCUGCAGCAUUUGACGUUACCUACAGAAGAAGCACCGGC